rnacentral:rRNA from 1 species
CGAUCAGUAGGGGUUCUGAGAGGAAGGUCCCCCACAUUGGAACUGAGACACGGUCCAAACUCCUACGGGAGGCAGCAGUGAGGAAUAUUGGUCAAUGGACGAGAGUCUGAACCAGCCAAGUAGCGUGCAGGAUGACGGCCCUAUGGGUUGUAAACUGCUUUUAUAAGGGAAUAAAGUGAGUCUCGUGAGACUUUUUGCAUGUACCUUAUGAAUAAGGACCGGCUAAUUCCGUGCCAGCAGCCGCGGUAAUACGGAAGGUCCGGGCGUUAUCCGGAUUUAUUGGGUUUAAAGGGAGCGUAGGCCGGAGAUUAAGCGUGUUGUGAAAUGUAGACGCUCAACGUCUGCACUGCAGCGCGAACUGGUUUCCUUGAGUACGCACAAAGUGGGCGGAAUUCGUGGUGUAGCGGUGAAAUGCUUAGAUAUCACGAAGAACUCCGAUUGCGAAGGCAGCUCACUGGAGCGCAACUGACGCUGAAGCUCGAAAGUGCGGGUAUCGAACAGGAUUAGAUACCCUGGUAGUCCGCACGGUAAACGAUGGAUGCCCGCUGUUGGUCUGAAUAGGUCAGCGGCCAAGCGAAAGCAUUAAGCAUCCCACCUGGGGAGUAC